GACUUUUUUAACAAUCACUGAUGUUUCAUUGAAAAAUUCGACCAAUUUCCCAAUGUUUCCCCUUGUUUCCAACAACCGCAAUACAUUACACGAUACAACUGAUAUAUCCCUUCCCAUGCGAUAACCGAUACGUAUCAGUAUCCUAAGGGUGCGAUACGUCACGCAAUACCGAUAUUUCAAACACUGGUUUUGACUAGUCUUUAGUGUUUUGGUUCCUUGGAAAGUCUUACUCCGAGACUAAGAUUAAAAUGUUCAAUUAAUAUGUUCCUUUAUGCAGUUUGUUUAUAACAUAAAAUGGUAGGCAUUUGACAAAAGUUAUCGAGUUACAUCAAUUUAUUCUCAUACUAUAUUCUUGUGUUAUCCUUUUUUAUAUUCAUCCAUGCUUUUCUGAUGCUCUUUUACAGAGUUGUCCAAUGUCCAGAGGAGAUACUGUCAAUACACCCUAUCUUACGUCAAAAUGGGCCCAACAACUCAGACUUAACUCCAGUCGAAGUCGAGAUGCCAAGAGUUGUCCAAUGUCCAGAGGAGAUACUAUCAAGACACCCUAUCUUACGUCGAAAUGGGCCCAACAACUUAAGACUUAACUCCAGUCGAAGUCGAGAUGCCAAGGUUAGAGUUCUAAAUAUUUUAUUUCUCUCCUAAGUACGCCACAUUUAGUAGUUUUUCGCUUUCAGUUUGGGCUUAAAGCUAAAGAAGGGAACGUAACACUAAAGAUAUCCCUUACAACUGUCAUGUUUCUAUUAAAUUGAACUUUUGUUGAUGUCA